GAUCGGCCCGCGUCUGAUUAGCUAGUUGGUGGGGUAAUGGCCUACCAAGGCUACGAUCUAUAGCUGGUCUGAGAGGAUGAUCAGCCACACUGGGACUGAGACACGGCCCAGACUCCUACGGGAGGCAGCAGUGGGGAAUCUUGGACAAUGGGCGCAAGCCUGAUCCAGCCAUGCCGCGUGAAUGAUGAAGGCCUUAGGGUUGUAAAAUUCUUUCGUCGGGGACGAUAAUGACGGUACCCGAAGAAGAAGCCCCGGCUAACUUCGUGCCAGCAGCCGCGGUAAUACGAAGGGGGCUAGCGUUGUUCGGAUUUACUGGGCGUAAAGCGCGUGUAGGCGGAUCGUUAAGUUGGGGGUGAAAUCCCGAGGCUCAACCUCGGAACUGCCUUCAAAACUGGCGAUCUGGAGCAAGAUAGAGGCGGGUGGAAUUGCGAGUGUAGAGGUGAAAUUCGUAGAUAUUCGCACGAACACCAGUGGCGAAAGCGACUCGCUUGAUCUUUGCUGACGCUGAAACGCGAAAGCGUGGGUAGCAAACAAGAUUAGAUACCCUGUGUAGUCCCCGCCGUUAAACGAUUGAGAGCUAGUUUUCCGCACGGCAUGCGUGUCCGUUGACACCAGCUAACGCAUUUAACCUCUUCCGCUG
rnacentral:rRNA from 1 species